rnacentral:rRNA from 1 species
GAGACCUCAGGUCAGGCGGAGCUACCCGCUGAGUU